GGCUUGGUGGCUUAGUGGUUAGCGCGAUUGCCUCGCACCUAUGGAGGUGGGGGUUCGAAUCCCACCUCCU